UUUCCUUGUAUUUUUUGUUUUCUCCUUUUAUUUUUUCAAUGAUCCAUUGCUUGUUCAGUAGCAAGUUAUUUAGUCUCCACAUCUUUGCCACUUUCCCAGAUUU